rfam:Granulicatella elegans ATCC 700633 genomic scaffold supercont2.1, whole genome shotgun sequence.
AAGUCGAACGAGAGCGACCGGUGCUUGCACUGGUCAAUCUAGUGGCGAACGGGUGAGUAACACGUGGGUAACCUGCCCAUCAGAGGGGGAUAACAUUCGGAAACGGAUGCUAAAACCGCAUAGGUUCUACAGUCGCAUGACUGAAGAAGGAAAAGAGGCUUCGGCUUCUGCUGAUGGAUGGACCCGCGGUGCAUUAGCUAGUUGGUGAGGUAACGGCUCACCAAGGCCGUGAUGCAUAGCCGACCUGAGAGGGUGAUCGGCCNNNNNN